rnacentral:rRNA from 1 species
AUUGAACGCUGGCGGCAUGCCUUACACAUGCAAGUCGAACGGUAACGCGGGGCAACCUGGCGACGAGUGGCGAACGGGUGAGUAAUACAUCGGAACGUGCCCAGUAGUGGGGGAUAGCCCGGCGAAAGCCGGAUUAAUACCGCAUACGACCUACGGGUGAAAGCGGGGGAUCGCAAGACCUCGCGCUAUUGGAGCGGCCGAUGUCAGAUUAGCUAGUUGGUGGGGUAAAAGCCUACCAAGGCGACGAUCUGUAGCUGGUCUGAGAGGACGACCAGCCACACUGGGACUGAGACACGGCCCAGACUCCUACGGGAGGCAGCAGUGGGGAAUUUUGGACAAUGGGGGCAACCCUGAUCCAGCCAUGCCGCGUGC